GAGGGUAUAGCUCAGUGGUAGAGCACAAGCUUAGUAUGCACAAGGUCCUGGGUUCAAUCCCCAGUACCUCCA
rnacentral:tRNA from 1 species